rnacentral:siRNA from 1 species
GGCCAAAAAUUAGAUCCUCUAAU